rnacentral:rRNA from 1 species
GACGAACGCUGGCGGCGUGCUUAACACAUGCAAGUCGAACGGUAAGGCCCUUCGGGGUACACGAGUGGCGAACGGGUGAGUAACACGUGGGUGAUCUGCCCUGCACUUUGGGAUAAGCAUGGGAAACUGGGUCUAAUACCGGAUAGGACCAUGUGCUUCACGGGGUGUGGUGGAAAGCUUUGGCGGUGUGGGAUGGGCCCGCGGCCUAUCAGCUUGUUGGUGGGGUAAUGGCCUACCAAGGCGACGACGGGUAGCCGGCCUGAGAGGGUGACCGGCCACACUGGGACUGAGAUACGGCCCAGACUCCUACGGGAGGCAGCAGUGGGGAAUAUUGCACAAUGGGCGCAAGCCUGAUGCAGCGACGCCGCGUGAGGGAUGACGGCCUUCGGGUUGUAAACCUCUUUCAGUAGGGACGAAGCGCAAGUGACGGUACCUACAGAAGAAGGACCGGCCAACUACGUGCCAGCCGCCGCGGUAA